AGGGUCCAGUUGUGGGGAAUGUUGACUGGUUCGGUAGCGACUGAACUUCACCUUGAACCAGAUUGAUAUCGGACCAGGCUUCAUUCCCCUCAGCAUGACUCU